UACGGAGGGAGCUAGCGUUGUUCGGAAUUACUGGGCGUAAAGCGCGCGUAGGCGGCUUUGUAAGUUAGAGGUGAAAGCCUGGAGCUCAACUUCAGAAUUGCCUUUAAGACUGCAUCGCUUGAAUCCGGGAGAGGUGAGUGGAAUUCCGAGUGUAGAGGUGAAAUUCGUAGAUAUUCGGAAGAACACCAGUGGCGAAGGCGGCUCACUGGACCGGCAUUGACGCUGAGGUGCGAAAGCGUGGGGAGCAGACAGG
rnacentral:rRNA from 1 species